ensembl:miRNA
CGCCUCCGAGCCGCAGUGCCUGACGGGAGACAGAGCAGCGAGCGAGAGCGUCGGCCAUUUUGUGGCUGUUUCCUGUGGGACGCGGUGGUGGCGGUUGG